GAGUGGGCCCCAAGAAGAGGACUUUCCUGCAGCCUCUAGUGCUGGCCCUAGAGAUGGCCCUCAGCCCACCUGAGCCAGGUUUCGUUGAGAAUGGCCAGCUAUGUUUGAAGGUGUUAAAGACCCCAGAGGAAGGGAUGUCCUCGUCAUCACCGCAGGAGACCACAGAGCAGAAUGGCAGCUGUUGGACUCCAGACAGCAAGUGGCCACAGGUGACAGGGACCCAAAUUCUUCCUGCAGGAUUGUGUGAUUCAAAUUCACAUUAGCAGUACAAGGAGAUGCAGUUUUGCGUAUUACGCUGGCAUCUGUCCCCUGUUUGUUUUCUAGAAGUCUAGAAUCAAAUCACACAUCUGUGAGCCAGGAAUAUGGAAAUGUGCUGUAGAUCCACUACUGCACUACAGUGGUGUGGUUGUCAAAAUGGAAAACACGUAAGAUGACAGGUGAAAAUGAAAGCCGCAGGCCAAAGGAUAUUGGGAGCAGAUGGUGCAUUGGAAACAUAUACAAUGGGCUUUUCUUGAAAGCAAAGAUGCCGGCAAUUCCAGUCUCUUCUGUUGCCACAUGAAAAUCAGAUGAAGAAAAACAGCUCAGACCUUUAUGGUUUGAGCGGCAUCGCCCACUUCUGCAGUGUGCAGUCUGCGAUGUUGCUUUAGAAAUAAUGACAUCAACAAUGAUCUAAGAUGCAGCAGAUUGGAUCACCCAAUUCAGGUCUUAAAAUGAGCAAAAGUUUGGCUCUAAAGUAUUUUUUGUCAGUGUGUUGAGGAAGAGGCUGUUCGUAGGGAGUGGCUUUAGGGUUCACGGCUUGGAUUCUGGAUGCCUUCACCUGUAGGGCUGCAGGAAGGAACCCACUUGGAAAUGGUGUCAGUGGCAAGAAUCAGACAUUGUGACAGCUUGUGACAUGUUGGGCGGGACAACCUUGAUGCAGAUUGUUCAGGGCAAUG